AUCAUGGUUAAGGAACUCGGCAAAAUGCCCCCGUAACUUCGGGAGAAGGGGGGCCUGAUCCCUGAAGCCCCAUCGCGGGCUAGGGGGGAGGGUCGCAGAGGCCAGGGGGAAGCGACUGUUUACUAAAAACACAGGUCCGUGCGAAGCCGUAAGGCGAUGUAUACGGACUGACGCCUGCCCGGUGCUGGAAGGUUAAGAGGAACCAUCAACCCCCUUGUGGGGUGAAGUGGUGAAUUUAAGCCCCAGUAAACGGCGGUGGUAACUAUAACCAUCCUAAGGUAGCGAAAUUCCUUGUCGGGUAAGUUCCGACCUGCACGAAUGGCGUAACGACUUCCCCGCUGUCUCAACCAUGAGCUCGGCGAAAUUGCAGUACGAGUAAAGAUGCUCGUUUCGCGCAGAAGGACGGAAAGACCCCGGGACCUUUACUACAGCUUGGUAUUGGCGCCCGCUAUAGCUUGUGCAGGAUAGGUGGGAGACUGUGAAGCCGCCACGCCAGUGGCGGUGGAGUCGUCCUUGAAAUACCACUCUGGUUAUGGCGUGCGCCUGAACCUGGGCCCGUGAUCCGGGUUAGGGACAGUGCCUGGUGGGUAGUUUAACUGGGGCGGUUGCCUCCUAAAGUGUAACGGAGGCGCUCAAAGGUUCCCUCAGCCUGGUCGGCAACCAGGUGUUGAGUGCAAGUGCACAAGGGAGCUUGACUGUGAGACCGACGGGUCGAGCAGGUACGAAAGUAGGAACUAGUGAUCCGGCGAUCCCGUGUGGGUGGGUCGUCGCUCAACGGAUAAAAGGUACCCCGGGGAUAACAGGCUGAUCCUGCCCAAGAGUCCAUAUCGACGGCAUGGUUUGGCACCUCGAUGUCGGCUCGUCGCAUCCUGGGGCUGGAGCAGGUCCCAAGGGUUGGGCUGUUCGCCCAUUAAAGCGGUACGCGAGCUGGGUUUAGAACGUCGUGAGACAGUUCGGUCCCUAUCCUCUGCGCGCGCAGGAGACUUGAGAAGGCCUGUCCCUAGUACGAGAGGACCGGGACGGACGAACCUCUGGUGUGCCAGUUGUCCCGCCCGGGGCACGGCUGGUUGGCUACGUUCGGGAAGGGUAACCGCUGAAAGCAUCUAAGCGGGAAACCAUCUUCAAGAUAAGGUCUCCACAGAACACCUCGGUGUUCUGGUAGGCCCCCAGCAGACUACUGGGUUGAUAGGCCAGAAGUGGAAGACCGGCAACGGUUCGAUGAGCUGACUGGUACUAAUAGGCCAACACAAACAACAA
rnacentral:rRNA from 1 species